GGACCGGUAGCUCAGCUUGGACAGAGCACUUCCCUCCUAAGGAAGGGGCCGCGAGUUCGAAUCCCGCCCGGUCCG
rnacentral:tRNA from 2 species